UUAAAUCUAGUUGGAAUCGUCCACUUCCUGUUUGCCAGUCUGGCCUCCUACCUGGACAGGUGUGGAUGGAGCACAUGGAACAAACAUUUGGAACAUCAGGAGGAGACACGGCCAUGAUGGUUUCACCCAAACAACAGGAACUAGACAACAACAACAGCCUAUAGAACAUCAGGAGGAGACACGGCCAUGAUGAUUUCUAAGACUUCACCUGAAGAACAGGAACUUCUCAAGAACACCCUGAAGGAGGAGACGUGGCCAUGAUGGUUUCCAGGACUUCACGUGAAGAGGAGGAUCUUCGCGCUACAGAAACCACGGGGAGGACACGGCCCCCCCCCGCGCCUGCUACCACAGGACCCGCCCUGAUGAUCCAGGCCCCCGACAACGGGUGGGAUUCGAACCAAUCUCCUGCGACUUCCAGCCGCGGUUGAACCACCACACGCCACCGAGAACCCUUCACCCUUGGACCUUCUCUCUGAGCGCUUUUGUCAUCGUCACUUUGGAAUCUGGACUUUAAAAGUCACGACUGUCAUAGGAUUUGAACCCAUGACUUCAAAAAUUUCAACCACUCAUUCAACUCUCUGAGAUAUUUAACUGCAGGUUUCUAGUCUUUCACUGACAUUUUCCAUCUGUUUCCUUGGGUGUUGAUCUUCAAAAGUCACGAAUGUCAUAAGGUUUGAACCCAUGACUUCACACUCACCAUAGACUCUUCUAACAGUCUGAGCUAUUUGUCCACAUGUUUCUGGUCUUUCUUUGAGCUUUUCAGUCUCUACUUUGAGUGUUGGACUCUAAAAUUCAUAGACUACGAUAAGAUUUGAACCCACAUCUUCAGAACCUCCAAGAACUCCUCUACCAGCCUGAGCUAUCUGACCUCACAUGUUCUCACU